GACGGAGGAGGCUAGCGUUGUUCGGAAUUACUGGGCGUAAAGCGCGCGCGGGCGGUUAUGCAAGUCAGGGGUGAAAGCCCGAGGCUCAACCUCGGAACGGCCUUUGCGACUGCAUGACUGGAGACCGGGAGAGGAGAGUGGAAUUCCCAGUGUAGAGGUGAAAUUCGUAGAUAUUGGGAAGAACACCCGUGGCGAAGGCGGCUCUCUGGGACGGUACCGACGCUGAGACGCGAAAGCGUGGGGAGCGAACAGG
rnacentral:rRNA from 1 species